GCAAUACAAAAGCUUUACAAUAGCAGUACACGAGCUGUACAAUGUGCAAAGUGCACCGCCGUUGCACAUGACCUGCAGGUUCACAGCUGUGAAUCACAGCACUCACUGCUUUCUUCAUACAUUUGAACUAUCCCUGAAUGACAGGUACGAAUUCAUAGCAAAUCCUAACAUGACCGAUGCAACUCAGCCAGCAACUCUUACCAUGGAAAAGGGUCCAACAGUCUAACGUCAGAAAAAAUGGACACACAAAUGUUAAGCGCAUGUAAAUGUACCACAAUACAGCCACUAUUGUCUUCUUAUUAAAGCGCUCAAUCCUCGCCUCCGCUGAUGUCAUCUUCACGAACGACGGCAUAUAUCUGCAUAUGAAAGGAUCACAACAAAUCAUUGUUUAGGCAGGAACACAUAGUUGUGAGCAUGUUACGUACAAUGACGGCUGUAGGUGUGACACCGGCAUAACGUGCCUCGAAAUAAGGCAAUAAAAAGCAUUUAGUUAAUAGCCAUGGUCUUGCAACCAGAGGCUUCAUACCUCCGAACGGCCGCUACGUGGCCUGCCACGUCCCGUUUGAGCCCGACUCUUGUUCAUAUCCUUACCACCAUCCUUGCGCUUGUCCUAUUCCUUGCGGUUCUCCUGCUCGUGUCCUUGGAAUGUAAAAUGACAAGGCAUAAUGUCAGUGUAUGCACCUGCAUGAUGGCCACUUACUGCCGGUGCCGUCUAGUCCCCCUUUUCCUGCUUUCCCCUGCUUGCCUGCGAAUGAAUGGUACGCCAUUAUAGAGGAAGAAAGACAGAUUCUUGUUAUGAAGAUGCUAAUUCAUUAGGCUUUACCUUACACUGUCGUCAUUGGAGGAUCAGCGUGAGUAUAAGCAAUGCAUACGCGCUAAACAACAAAUUCAAGAUAAUCUUAUUAGUGCAAUGCGCGCAAUGAAUUACUGCCCUGAGGACACGGGCAGCACUGGGCCUUACGCCCAACUUACUCCCAACUCCCAACUAACCCUCUUACUUAACGCAAGCUCGCAUAAGUUGUUGCGCCAGAGAUAAAUGCCAAAGGAGAAGAUACCCCCUCUAACGGUUGAAAUACUGAAC
rnacentral:lncRNA from 1 species